UGAGCUUCAGACAGUGCCUGAAACCAGAAGUCCGCUGUCUCUCCCCUUCCUUUCCUCACCAAGUGGUGCUCGCACUGGACCGGUGAAGACAGGUGGAAGGGUGUUUGUGUUGGACCCCUAUGAAAAAGGCUAUCGACGACCUGCUUCAUAAACACCGUGGCCAGAAGGAGAUGCUCAAGCUUGUAGACCAGGACUAUGCUGGUCUAGUUCACAACUCCUGUAAAGACCCAAACAGCAUGCCUAUCAAAAAUGAACAUGUCUAACAGCAUUUUUAACAUUUGCAGUAAAAUAUCAAUGGUUCAUUUACCACGAACAUGCAGAAAAACCCUAAACUUUCUAAAAAACACAUAUCUUUUGCUAUGUUAGGCCUCGUAUCCAAACUACGUGUCGAUGUAGCCUUGGUAAAUAACUAGCAACAAAACAUUACAGACCAAACUAAUUACUAUUAGACAAUACAAAAAACUAAAUUUAGAUAACUUUACUAAUGAUAUAAUUUCAAUUAACUGGGAUAGAUAUCCGUUAAUUCCAAAUGUACAUUCUGAAUUGAAUACAGUUCUUGAUAAACAUGCUCCUCUGAAAACUAUUAAAGUAAAAGGCAGGCAUCUUCCCUGGAUAAGAGCUGACUUUAUUAGACCUUUCAGGCAGAGAGAUGCUGCUUGGGCCACAUUUCAUAAGUUUAAGAAUCCGACUGAUUGGGAUGAAUACAGGAGGCUACGAAAUCUAAGCAAAACAAUGACGGGAAAUGCCAAAUCCAGUUAUUACAAAGAAUCUCUCAUUGAAAAUUUCAAAAAUCCUAAACAAUUCUGGCCUAAGA